rnacentral:rRNA from 1 species
AACGAACGCUGGCGGCAGGCCUAACACAUGCAAGUCGAGCGGUAAGGCCCUUUCGGGGGUACACGAGCGGCGAACGGGUGAGUAACACGUGGGUGACCUGCCCUCAGCUCUGGGAUAAGCCUGGGAAACCGGGUCUAAUACCGGAUAUGACUCCAUGACGCAUGUUGUGGGGUGGAAAGCCUUGUGCGGCUGAGGAUGGGCCCGCGGCCUAUCAGCUUGUUGGUGGGGUGAUGGCCUACCAAGGCGACGACGGGUAGCCGGCCUGAGAGGGCGACCGGCCACACUGGGACUGAGACACGGCCCAGACUCCUACGGGCGGCAGCAGUGGGGAAUCUUGCGCAAUGGGCGAAAGCCUGACGCAGCGACGCCGCGUGAGGGAUGACGGCCUGGUGUAAC